GACUAUGACGAUGCCACCCUGAACAAGCCCAAUCCCAUCUGAUCUCGGAAGCUAAGCAGGGUAGGGCCUGGUUAGUAUUUGCAUGGGAGACUACCUAGGAAGACCAGGUGCUGUAGGCA
rnacentral:rRNA from 1 species